rnacentral:rRNA from 1 species
AUACGUAGGUGGCAAGCGUUGUCCGGAAUUAUUGGGCGUAAAGCGCGCGCAGGUGGUUCCUUAAGUCUGAUGUGAAAGCCCCCGGCUCAACCGGGGAGGGUCAUUGGAAACUGGGGAACUUGAGUGCAGAAGAGGAUAGUGGAAUUCCAAGUGUAGCGGUGAAAUGCGUAGAGAUUUGGAGGAACACCAGUGGCGAAGGCGACUGUCUGGUCUGUAACUGACACUGAGGCGCGAAAGCGUGGGGAGCAAACAGGAUUAGAUACCCUGGUAGUCCACGCCGUAAACGAUGAGUGCUAAGUGUUGGGGGGUUUCCGCCCCUCAGUGCUGCAGCUAACGCAUUAAGCACUCCGCCUGGGGAGUACGGUCGCAAGACUGAAACUCAAAUGAAUUGGCGGGG